AGGAGGGAAGCCUCAUACUCCAGGAGCAAGACACAGUUCUGCAGAGAGACAGAGAGGAGGUGAAACUGGUGACAAAGACUUCCACCCUCCCCUUUACUGCUGGAGGCCAGGAAACUAACUGAUGGAUCCUUUCCGGGGACGGCCACUCUUUGAUGUCACAUUUUCAUGGCCAAACUCUAGGAUGAGGCACAAUGUGACUUUUCUGCUAUGACAGCCUCCUGGGCAGCAGAAAAGUGCAGGUUAAACCACAACCAUCAGGCACAUCUGAUUGCCUGUGACAUCAGGACCCACCCUGCCCGGAGGACCGAAAUGUCUUCUGACUCAAAUUCCCACCAGCCAAGACGGUGAUGUUCCCGGGGCCACCACCAACCCUUUCCUCUUCACCACCUACACGACAGGACCGAACAACUCCUGUGUUGACACAGCCUUCCCUCCCAGACAUCCCACGGAUAAGAGCUGAGUCCAUUCCACCUGCAGACCACUCCCGGUGACGAACCCCACCCCCCGUUAUUCUCCAUCUCUGACACCAACACCUGCCCCUUACGGAGGUGAGUGUGUGCGCACCGAUCUGACCAGUGGUCUCUGCCAGCUCCCUGUCCCUUGCUCGCCUCUCUCCAACUCCUGCCUGUGCCCUGGUCCUGCCAACUGCAAGGCAGCGCUUGAAGGGAGCAUAGUCUUCUCCUGAGGCCCAGCACCUCCCAGGCCUCGUGAGGAAACAUGAGGCGCCAUUCCCCGGGGCCUGCGCACCCGGGUGCAGUGGGCCUGGAGCGUCUCGGGCCGGGCCCCGCCACUCCAGCAGGGGAACAGGGACCCUGCUGUGCGCAGACAGGGGUGCCGGUGAGCCCCGCACCUGCAGGGGCAGAGCGGGCUCGGACCCCCAGCAGAGGCCCGCGAGACUGCGGACAACUCUGGCCGGGCUGGACUCAGCCCUGUGCGGGCUUCCGGAGGAGAGUUCAGGCCAGUGGAGAGAGCACCCACAGCCUCACUGCACAGGGUCCCUCUCCGGAGGGAGGUGACAUCCCUGUGGCGUAGAGCUCACCGUCUGU